rnacentral:rRNA from 1 species
UACGGGGGGAGCAAGCGUUGUUCGGAUUUACUGGGCGUAAAGGGCGCGUAGGCGGCCACUGCAAGUCGGUUGUGAAAUCUCCGGGCUUAACCCGGAAAGGUCAAUCGAUACUGCAGGGCUAGAGUGCAGAAGGGGCAACUGGAAUUCUCGGUGUAGCGGUGAAAUGCGUAGAUAUCGAGAGGAACACCUGCGGCGAAGGCGGGUUGCUGGGCUGACACUGACGCUGAGGCGCGAAAGCCAGGGGAGCGAACGGG